rnacentral:antisense_RNA from 1 species
AGGCGGAAAACUUAGGAAGAGCUGGAUGCCUCCCACGGAGAGCGUCCCUUCCAAGCGGCCCCGGAGUGGAGUGGAGUGGAUAGGGGUAGACUUUUCACACGGGGACAAAUUAUUACAGGAUAUCUGCACCCCCCGUUCCGAGUCACUCGGGCGCAUCGGUUACUUCAGCAGGUUCUCUGCAUCACGGACCCUUUUGAGGCUCAGGAAUUUAUCAUGGAAAUUAUUGGCCAUAAUUGUUGGUGACACUAUCAAACUCAUAGUCACUCUAUAACGAUGACUCUGCAGAGAGCCCCCACCAGCAAGAAGACCCUCACCAGAUAUAGCCUUCAACCUUGGACUUCCCAGCCUUCAGAGCUGUACAAAAUGGAGCCUUGCUCUGUCGCCCAGGCUGGUGUGCAAUGGCACAAUCUCGACUCACUGCAACCUCCAUCUCCAAG